rnacentral:rRNA from 1 species
CACGUAGGGUGCGGGCGUUGUCCGGAAUUAUUGGGCGUAAAGAGCUCGUAGGCGGUGUGUCGCGUCGGCCGUGAAAACUUGCAGCUUAACUGUGGGCGUGCGGUCGAUACGGGCAUCACUGGAGUUCGGCAGGGGAGACUGGAAUUCCUGGUGUAGCGGUGAAAUGCGCAGAUAUCAGGAGGAACACCGGUGGCGAAGGCGGGUCUCUGGGCCGAUACUGACGCUGAGGAGCGAAAGCGUGGGGAGCGAACAGG